GGGCUGCCUCCCGUUGGGUCCCCAGACCUGUCCGCAGGGAAGGGGGUCAGGGCCAGGGAGCAAGCCCGGGCGGGGCGAGGCCUCAGCAGCCCCCCGGCGGCCAGGUGGGCCGGCAGCCCCGGGCAGGGCCGCAGCGUCCCCCGCGCAGGGCGUCCCGGCUGCGGCUGCGACCGGUGCACGGAGAGCCAGGCGGGUCCUGGGGCCUGGGCAGAGGCGCACAGCCCCCACCCAUGCCCGGGGCGCUGAUUCCGGGAGGGGCGUGGCCCCUGGACACUGCGCCCCGCCCCUGGAUGUCUGGGGAGGGACAGAUUCGGGCCAAGGGCAGAGUCAGGGCAGGGCUGUCCCGGAAACUCAGGGCGGAGUGGACACGAAGAGCCGUGAUUGGGACCCGACGUGGCCGAGAGCCCUGAAGCCCAGAGACGGCGAGCUCCCCGGAGGCCACACGGAGCCGCGAGGGUACUGCCCGCCCGUGGGCGGGGAGAGGGCGUGGCCGGAUGUAGUGGGUGUGGCCAUGGGCGGGGCUGCGGGCGGGAUGGAGACGGUGGGCGGGGCCAUGGGACCGUAACUCUGGCGCUCAGCAGGUCCCGCCCCGCCCGCCUUGGGGGCCGCUGCGGCUGGGGGCGGCCUGGUUCCUCCGCUGCCCGCAGGCCCGCCUCCCGCAGUGACCAGCAGAUGGUGCCAGAGGCCGGCCGAUGCCUGGGCCUUGUCUGCCGCCAAGAGGGAGGGGGGCUGGGGGCGCUGCCAAGAGUGCCAGCCCCCCAGGUGUCCCCCAGGGUCAGCUCCCUAGAACCAAGACAACACAUUUCCGGGGUAUGUUGUCCUGCGAUACAAGCAGCCACAGGAGCGGAGCACAGCCGAGCCCCUGUAGCCCCCCUUGGCUGAGACUCCCGACCGCGGUGUCUCUCGGAGGAGCUGCUGGCCCCGUUCCCACCUGUGGCCCCCGUCGCCCUGGGGCCUCCCACGUCUGGCCUGUGAGGGGCUGCAGGCUCCCUGCGGACUCCCCAGCGCCCCCUCCGGGCUCCAGACUCCGGGCAUCCCUCGCGGGGCCUGGAGGUGGGAGCUGAGAGGACAGGCUCCUGGCCUCCCGGGGGUCCCGAGGCUCUGACGUGAGCCCGCGUCCCCACAGCCGCAUCCACGUGGCUGGCCUUGGAUGCAGGGCUGCCUUGAGAUGGGAAUUCCUUCAGGAAGCCUCAGCCACCCACAGGAGCGCCCACAGCGGGUCAGGCCCUGCGGCCCAGCCCUCAGCCAACCCCCCCAGCCCAGCCCUGCUUCCUGCUGACAGAUUAGCGACUCCUCUGUGGGGACUGCUCCAAGUGCUGCUGGGCUUUCAGAUGUAAAUGCAGUGGAGCAGGUCUGCGAGUCACUGAGUUCUAACACGUUAGAAAACACGGUGUUCCCGUUGGCGUCCGAUGCACAAAAUGAACUUUUAUCAUCAAUGUCAGAGUUGACUGAUGUGAAUAAAUCGAAGGCUUGCCUCUGAGUGGCA
rnacentral:lncRNA from 1 species